rnacentral:rRNA from 1 species
GAUGAACGCUGGCGGCGUGCCUAAUACAUGCAAGUCGAGCGAACAGACGAGGAGCUUGCUCCUCUGACGUUAGCGGCGGACGGGUGAGUAACACGUGGAUAACCUACCUAUAAGACUGGGAUAACUUCGGGAAACCGGAGCUAAUACCGGAUAAUCUAUUGAACCGCAUGGUUCAAUAGUGAAAGACGGUUUUGCUGUCACUUAUAGCUGGAUCCGCGCCGCAUUAGCUAGUUGGUAAGGUAACGGGCUACCAAGGCAACCAUGCGUAGCCGAACUGAGGGAGUGAUCGGCCACCCUGGAACUGGGACACGGUCCAGACUCCUACGGGAGGCAGCAGUAGGGAAUGUUCGGCAAUGGGCGAAAGCCUUACGGAGCAACGCCGCGUGAGUGAUGAAGGUCUUCGGAUCGUAAAACUCUGUUAUUAGGGAAGAACAAAUGUGUAAGGAACUAUGCACGUCUUGACGGUACCUAAUCAGAAAGCCACGGCUAACUACGUG